rnacentral:rRNA from 1 species
AGAGUUUGAUCCUGGCUCAGAACGAACGUUAGCGGCGCGCCUAACACAUGCAAGUCGAGCGAGAAGGAAGCAAUUCCUGUAAAGCGGCGCACGGGUGAGUAACACGUAGGUAAUCUGCCUCGAGGUGGUGGAUAACCUUCCGAAAGGAGGGCUAAUACAGCAUGAGACCACGUCUUCGAAAGAGGAUGAGGUUAAAGCGGGCCUCUAUACAUAAGCUCGCGCCAUGAGAUGAGCCUGCGGCCCAUCAGGUAGUUGGUAGGGUAACGGCCUACCAAGCCAAAGACGGGUAGCUGGUCUGAGAGGAUGAUCAGCCACACUGGAACUGAGACACGGUCCAGACUCCUACGGGAGGCAGCAGUGGGGAAUCUUGCGCAAUGGGCGAAAGCCUGACGCAGCGACGCCGCGUGAGUGAUGAAGGCCUUCGGGUUGUAAAGCUCUGUGGAGGGGGACGAAUAAGGGUUGGUGAAUAUCCAACUUGAUGACGGUACCCCUUUAGCAAGCACCGGCUAACUCUGUGCCAGCAGCCGCGGUAAUA